AUUGAACGCUGGCGGCAGGCCUAACACAUGCAAGUCGAGCGGAUGAAGGGAGCUUGCUCCUGGAUUCAGCGGCGGACGGGUGAGUAAUGCCUAGGAAUCUGCCUGGUAGUGGGUUAUAACGUCCGGAGACGGGCGCUAAUACCGCAUACGUCCUGAGGGAGAAAGUGGGGGAUCUUCGGACCUCACGCUAUCAGAUGAGCCUAGGUCGGAUUAGCUAGUUGGUGGGGUAAAGGCCUACCAAGGCGACGAUCCGUAACUGGUCUGAGAGGAUGAUCAGUCACACUGGAGGUGAGACACGGUCCAGAGUACUACGGGAGGCAGCAGUCGGGAAUAUUGGACAAUGGGCGAAAGCCUGAUCCAGCCAGGCCGCGUGUGUGAAGAAGGUCUUCGGAUUGGAAAGCACUUUAAGUGGGGAGGAAGGGCAGUAAGUUAAUACCUUGCUGGUUUGACGUUACCAACAGAAUAAGCACCGGCUAACUUCGUG
rnacentral:rRNA from 1 species